rnacentral:rRNA from 1 species
UACGUAGGGGCCUAGCGUUGUCCGGAUUUAUUGGGCGUAAAGGGCUCGUAGGCGGUUCGUCACGUCGGGAGUGAAAACUCGGGGCUUAACCCCGAGCCUGCUUCCGAUACGGGCAGACUAGAGGUAGGCAGGGGAGAGCGGAACUCCUGGUGUAGCGGUGGAAUGCGCAGAUAUCAGGAAGAACACCGGUGGCGAAGGCGGCUCUCUGGGCCUUACCUGACGCUGAGGAGCGAAAGCGUGGGUAGCGAACAGG